GUGACCUGCGGAAGGACAUUA
rnacentral:rRNA from 1 species